UUAUACCUCAAUUCCCGCGUGAGUGAUGGCAGUGGAAAUCCUCCCGUUUUUCAGGGAGAUUGAAGCGUACAGCACGACCGCGC
rfam:Flavobacterium micromati strain DSM 17659 genome assembly, contig: Ga0131131_105